GCUUAUCACCAUUCCAGAUUGAAUAUACCCGAUCUCGUCUGAUCUCGGAAGUCAAGCAAUCUCGGGCUUGGUUAGUACUGGAAAGGGUGACCGCUUGGGAAUACCAAGUG
rnacentral:rRNA from 1 species